rnacentral:tRNA from 1 species
CGGGGAGUAGCUCAGCCUGGUAGAGCACCGGCUUUGGGAGCCGGGGGCCGCAGGUUCAAAUCCUGUCUCCCCGACCA